UACGUAGGUGGCAAGCGUUGUCCGGAUUUACUGGGCGUAAAGAGCGCGCAGGCGGUCGUUCAAGUCGCGUGUGAAAGCCCCCGGCUCAACUGGGGAGGGUCACGCGAUACUGAUCGACUCGAAGGCAGGAGAGGGUAGUGGAAUUCCCGGUGUAGUGGUGAAAUGCGUAGAUAUCGGGAGGAACACCAAUUGCGAAGGCAGCUCGCUGGGACGUUACUGACGCUGAGACGCGAAAGCGUGGGGAGCAAACAGG
rnacentral:rRNA from 1 species